rnacentral:rRNA from 1 species
GAUGAACGCUGGCGGCGUGCCUAAUACAUGCAAGUCGAGCGAACGGACGAGAAGCUUGCUUCUCUGAUGUUAGCGGCGGACGGGUGAGUAACACGUGGAUAACCUACCUAUAAGACUGGGAUAACUUCGGGAAACCGGAGCUAAUACCGGAUGAUAUUUUGAACCGCAUGGUUCAAAAGUGAAAGACGGUUUUGCUGUCACUUAUAGAUGGAUCCGCGCUGCAUUAGCUAGUUGGUAAGGUAAUGGCUUACCAAGGCAACGAUGCAUAGCCGACCUGAGAGGGUGAUCGGCCACACUGGAACUGAGACACGGUCCAGACUCCUACGGGAGGCAGCAGUAGGGAAUCUUCCGCAAAGGGCGAAAGCCUGACGGAGCAACGCCGCGUGAGUGAUGAAGGUCUUCGGAUCGUAAAACUCUGUUAUUAGGGAAGAACAUAUGUGUAAGUAACUGUGCACAUCUUGACGGUACCUAAUCAGAAAGCCACGGCUAACUACGUG